rnacentral:rRNA from 1 species
CAAUAAAUCACAAUGCGGGACUAUACGUCUUGCAAUUGGAUUGAGAACAAUGUACAACUCUUAUCGAUAAGCCAUUGGAGGGCAAGUCUGGUGCCAGCAGCCGCGGUAAUUCCAGCUCCAAUAGCGUAUAUUAACGUUGUUGCAGUUAAAAAGCUCGUAGUUGAAGUGUGGGUGAUCGCUGUUGUGAGACUUCGGUCUCUCGACAGUAAGUCACCCCCUUCCAGUAUCCAGUAGUGGGUAUUCAGUUACUUACUAUUGUGUGUUGGUCCUUUACUGUGAGAAAAUUAGAGUGUUCAAAGCAGGCGUUUGCUUGAAUAGAUUAGCAUGGAAUAAUAAUUGAAGGCUUUCGUGUUCGAUUUGAUUGGUUUGUUCAUGGAAGCAAGGUUAAAAGGAACAGUUGGGGGUAUUCAUAUUCACUAGUUAGAGGUGAAAUUCUCGGAUUUAUGGAAGAUGAACA